rnacentral:rRNA from 1 species
CCUACGGGCGGCAGCAGUGAGGAAUAUUGGUCAAUGGGCGCGAGCCUGAACCAGCCAAGUCGCGUGAAGGAUGACUGCCCUAUGGGUUGUAAACUUCUUUUAUAAAGGAAUAAAGUGAGGCACGUGUGCCCUUCUGUAUGUACUUUAUGAAUAAGGAUCGGCUAACUCCGUGCCAGCAGCCGCGGUAAUACGGAGGAUCCGAGCGUUAUCCGGAUUUAUUGGGUUUAAAGGGAGCGUAGAUGGGUUGUUAAGUCAGUUGUGAAAGUUUGCGGCUCAACCGUAAAACUGCAAUUGAAACUGGCAGUCUUGAGUGCAGGUGAGGUAGGCGGAAUUCGUGGUGUAGCGGUGAAAUGCUUAGAUAUCACGAAGAACCCCGAUUGCGAAGGCAGCCUACUAAACUGUAACUGACGUUGAUGCUCGAAAGUGUGGGUAUCAAACAGGAUUAGAUACCCGUGUAGUC